AACGAACGCUGGCGGCAGGCCUAACACAUGCAAGUCGAGCGCCCGGAUUUAUCCGGGAGCGGCGCACGGGUGAGUAACGCGUGGGAACAUGCCCUGAAGUACGGAACAACCUGGGGAAACCUUGGCUAAUACCGUAUACGCCCUGAGGGGGAAAGAUUUAUCGCUUUGGGAUUGGCCCGCGUUGGAUUAGCUGGUUGGUGUGGUAACGGCGCACCAAGGCGACGAUCCAUAACUGGUCUGAGAGGAUGACCAGUCACACUGGGACGGAUGACACGGCCCAGACUCCUACGGGAGGCAGCAGUGGGGAAUAUUGGACAAUGGGCGAAAGCCUGAUCCAGCCAUGCCGCGUGAGUGAAGAAGGCCUUCGGGUUGUAAAGCUCUUUCAGCGGGGACGAUGAUGACGGUACCCGCAGAAGAAGCCCCGGCUAACCUCGUGCCAGCCGCCGCAGUAA
rnacentral:rRNA from 1 species